UCACUUAGAAACCCAGGAUGCACAGACUCUGCUUCUGCCUUGGUGCUCCAAGACGUUGCAAGGUUCUGUGUCCUUCAUGGGAAUCAACUGGCAGAAAGAAGCCAAGUGCUCAGGGAAGUUGUUGGGACCAUGCAGUCUGCCUGGAUUUUGUCUCAUUGCGCAUUUCAGUAAACCAAGCAGUUGAUGAAUGCGAUGCACCAGGACCCAAAAUCAUUCCUGCUGCACUGCUGUUCACCAUCGUCACCAUGACACCAUUAUCUUUGUGACACAUAGAGGCUUACUCAGACCAUACCAAGAAGGACAAGAAAUGAAUGACCUGAGAUUGUUGCAGCCAGAGAGGGUUCAGAUGCCUGUCAAGAUGUGUUAGGGAAGGUAGAACUCAUACAAGAGCAAGUAUCCUCUCUGUAGCUCUAAGCAAUUCCAUUACAGUGCUUGAUUUGCAGAUCAACUUGGAUUCAAUGGUGGAAAAAAAACCCUGUUGCUAGAUGUUGAACUGCCCAUUCUGGUACUUCUGGGCAGAGCCAAAAACACACCUCUGCCAUGCUUGUAUGGGUUCCUCAGUAUGAGUGGCCUUUAGGUAGUGCAAGAUCUCCGAAGCAGAUGAGUUUAUUGUUUUGUGGAACUAAAUUUUGGCCUUAGUAUCUAAAGUGGAGGUAAAAUAGCAAUUAGUUUUUGGUGAUGCUCACUUUUAAUCCUAAAAUAAAUCCAUAUUGGAAAAUAUGUAAAGACCUGAAGCAAUCCUCUUCCAAAUAAAAAUGAAGAACUUGGUGCAUUCCAGAACUAAACUGCUAAAAACUUAUGUCUUUCUGAGGCCUGGGUUUGCUGCUAAUUUAUUAACAAUAAUAUUAAUGUUUGUCCAUAAAUUUAGUUGUCCCUCAGCUUUCUUGGCCAUAUAUCCUCUCUUGUAGAUAUUUAUGUUCCCUCUGUCCUUAACAAACUCUCCUCUUCCACUCUUUUCUGACCCUUCCUAUCUCAGUUCAUGGUAGCUGGACACAUCAAAGUACAAUCAUUACCUGGAAACAUAGAAUCUCAUGUUAAUAAUUGAGCAUUAUGAUUUAGAGCUCCUCAGUGAGUAUUACAUCACUUCUCGCCUUGUUUAAAUGAGAACUUAAUAUAUUUUUGUAUAUUUUCAUGUAUCUUCUCAAUGUGCUCCAUCACGAAUGAUGU